CCUACGGGAGGCAGCAGUGGGGAAUUUUGGACAAUGGGCGCAAGCCUGAUCCAGCAAUGCCGCGUGAGUGAAGAAGGCCUUCGGGUUGUAAAGCUCUUUUGUCAGGGAAGAAACGGUGGGGGCUAAUAUCUCCUGCUAAUGACGGUACCUGAAGAAUAAGCACCGGCUAACUACGUGCCAGCAGCCGCGGUAAUACGUAGGGUGCAAGCGUUAAUCGGAAUUACUGGGCGUAAAGCGUGCGCAGGCGGUUUUGUAAGUUUGUCGUGAAAUCCCCGGGCUCAACCUGGGAAUGGCGAUGAAGACUGCAAGGCUAGAAUCUGGCAGAGGGGGGUAGAAUUCCACGUGUAGCAGUGAAAUGCGUAGAGAUGUGGAGGAACACCGAUGGCGAAGGCAGCCCCCUGGGUCAAGAUUGACGCUCAUGCACGAAAGCGUGGGGAGCAAACAGGAUUAGAUACCCUGGUAGUCCACGCCCUAAACGAUGUCUACUAGUUGUCGGGUUUUAAUUAACUUGGUAACGCAGCUAACGCGUGAAGUAGACCGCCUGGGGAUACGGUCGCAAGAUUAAAACGUCAAAGGAUUGACGG
rnacentral:rRNA from 1 species